GAAGUUAUAUUCUAUUGGAACACUUGGUGUUGCAACUGCGUUAAGAGCUUUGUCUUGCUCCGCGCAACUAUCUGUGCAGUAAUGUCCGACUAGGUAGCAUGUUCUAUUACAGUGCCUCGAGGUUUUCACCAAUCAGAAGAGACCAUUCCACAUCUUGGAACACUUCAUAAGGAUAUGUUCCUAUAUCAACUUCUCUCAACCAAGGGAACAAGGAAUCCUCGAGUUCCAUUGCAGAUAAAGCGAUUAUCUGACCCAAGAAAACAGUUCUAUGCUGUUCAGGACUUACCUUUGAAAAGAAGAAUCUGAUUUUGGAAUUUGCUGAAGUUUCUGGAGUUACAAUCUCGAGAAAAUGGGAGCCAAGAGUUACGCAUGUAAUUGCAUCAACCAACGAAAAUGGAGCCUGCAAAAGGACACUCAAAUUCAUGAUGGGGAUCCUGGAGGGGAAAUGGAUUCUGAGCAUUGAUUGGAUCAAGGCCUGUAUGAAAGACAGAGAAUAUGUAAGCGAGGAGCUAUAUGAGAUUUCCAUUGAUGUACAUGGAACACGACAAGGACCUUUUACUGGAAGACAAAGAGCUUUGAACAAGGAACCAAAACUUUUUAGUGGGCUGAAGUUUUACAAUCGAGAGCUUGGAUUGAUCUCUCUGUUCCAAGAAGUUUCAAAACAAGGUUUGGUCUGUUCCAAAUACUGCAUCAGAAGCAAGCUACAGCCGAGAAACCAAGUUCAUAAGACCAUAUUAUUAGAAAGUAAUCAUAUUCUAUGUAACAGUAUUGGAAAAAGAGUAACUUACUUUGAUCAUUCCUGCAGCACCUCCCUCGCUGUGAUUUGAAAAAGAUAAAAGGGUUCGUGAUUGAUUUGAAAUUGGAGAUAAAGACGAAAUUGGAUUAAUAUUUAUCCCAAAAUGAAACUCUCUUCGUUUUUUUUCUUUACUGUAAUAAAUUACUCACAUUGAUUUUUUCCCAUAUAAGCCAUAACAUUUUCAUAUU